CCCGAGUAUGUAUCACUAGAACGGUCUAGGUCGGCGACACCAUCAGAUCCCGCUUCGGGGCAGGGCCAUGGUGAACCUUUCGAGGAUGAGGACGUGGGUGUGGUCACCCAAGAGGUUGCUGAUGAUAUGACCUUGGGGAGGUACCAGGCUCGGUCUGCAUACGAGUUGAAGCCUAGGACGGGAAUCAACAAGUACACACCUGAAGACUUCACCCAAAGAGGCCAAAGAGGCAAAAGGACGGUCGGCACCUCGCGGAUGGCGGCUUUGGAUGACUAUUUGGAUGACGUGGACGAACCGGAGCCGGAGCGGGUUCCUCUUCCUAGGAAGGUGAAGAAGAUAAGCGUCAAGAGGGGGGAGGAGCCAGCAAGCGUGGAAAGCACUAGUCAUCGUCAUUUUUUUAUAAUGUUGAACUUAGAGUGGAAUUUGUUAUGUCGUUGAACUUGGAGUGGUCGUACCUAUUAGUAAUGUGGAAUUUGCUAUGUCGUUGAACUUGGAGUGGUGGUAGCUCUAUGUUAAACUUGAACUUAUUGUGAUGGUCCUUUCUAAGAAAUGAUGUCUGUGGUGAACCCUUUUUGAACCUUAAUGUUUA